UAGAAAGAUCUCUUUUGAAUAUCUUCUUAAAGUAUCAAAAAAAGGAAGGGAGAAAAGAAAGAUGAGAGUGGAAAUAAAAGUAAGAGUGAAAUCUUUGUUCAGAGGCAGAGUAAACGGAAGAGAAAGGCAACGGAAUGGAAUGAGAAAUCUCAAAUGUUUGGCAAACUUUUAAACCAUCUUCUUAAUUUUUCUUAAAGGGAGUAGUGGUAAAUAAGGGAAAAGUGCAGGAAGAAAACCAUAACUGUGGAUGUGAAUGAGAAUGCAUACAUAGGGAAAAUAGUAGAAUGGAUAAAAAAUGUUGUUUACAAGAUACACAUUUAAAACAUAAAGAUUCACAAAGUUAAAAUAAAAUCUGAAACAAAAUCAAUUAUGCUUCAGCUGAGCUCAGGCAACUAUAGAAAUCAUUAUUUAAGAUGAUGUUACAGUAAAAACACAUGAUAAAAAAAGAGAUAAACAGAAAAACUGCAUUAUGCUAAAGGCUCCAUAUCUAACAAACCAAUAUUAAUAUUUAAGUUUUUUUUGGCCCUUACAAGAGCGAGGAUCGUUUUAAAAACAUUUUUUAUUUUAAUAAUUUUAUUUAGUCAAUUUAGAACAUUAUUCCUUGGUUACAAUAAUAACAUUAUUUCCCUCCUUCCCCUCCACCCACUCUUCCCACAGCCAACACGCAAUUUCAUUAGGUAUUACAUGUGUGCUUGAUCAGAAACCAAUUAAAUGUUGUUUACACUAGGAUGUUCAUUUAGAGUCUACAUCCCGAACAAUAUACCUUCAACCUAUAUAUUCAAGCAGUUGUUUUUCUUUGGUGUUUUUACUUCCACACUGUUUCCUCUGGAUGUGGAUAGUGGUAUUUCUCGUAAUCAACAUUAUACAUAAUGAAGGAGUGCUGUGUGACAAGGAAAUCACUUUAAAAGACUGAUAUAUAUUAAUUUAAGUCAACCUUUUAUGGAGUUUAAUUACAAACAGGAGGAAGAAAGGUAUUAGAGAUAGAGAAAGAGAGGGAGAGAAAAAGGGGAGAGAAGGGAAUAGGGCAUAAAUACCCCUUCUGUUUAGGCUGGGCCAAAAGGCCCAAGCCCUUAGAUAGCUGAGGCAAAGAAAAGAGAUCAGUCC
rnacentral:lncRNA from 1 species